rnacentral:rRNA from 1 species
GCNNANCAUGCAGUCGAGCGGAAACGAUGNCNNNCUUGCUGGGAGGCGUCGAGCGGCGGACGGGUGAGUAACACUUAGGAAUCUACCUAGUAGUGGGGGAUAGCUCGGGGAAACUCGAAUUAAUACCGCAUACGUCCUACGGGAGAAAGGGGGCAACUUGUUGCUCUCGCUAUUAGAUGAGCCUAAGUCGGAUUAGCUAGUUGGUGGGGUAAAGGCCUACCAAGGCGACGAUCUGUAGCUGGUCUGAGAGGAUGAUCAGCCACGCCGGGACUGAGACACGGCCCGGACUCCUACGGGAGGCAGCAGUGGGGAAUAUUGGACAAUGGGGGCAACCCUGAUCCAGCCAUGCCGCGUGUGUGAAGAAGGCCUUUUGGUUGUAAAGCACUUUAAGCAGUGAAGAAGACCUNANGGUUAAUACCCGUUAGCGAUGACAUUAGCUGCAGAAUAAGCACCGGCUAACUCUGUGCCAGCAGCCGCGGUAAUACAGAGGGUGCAAGCGUUAAUCGGAAUUACUGGGCGUAAAGCGAGCGUAGGUGGCUUGAUAAGUCAGAUGUGAAAUCCCCGGGCUUAACCUGGGAACUGCAUCUGAUACUGUUAGGCUAGAAUAGGUGAGAGGAAGGUAGAAUUCCAGGUGUAGCGGUGAAAUGCGUAGAGAUCUGGAGGAAUACCGAUGGCGAAGGCAGCCUUCUGGCAUCAUAUUGACACUGANGUUCGAAAGCGUGGGUAGCAAACAGGAUUAGAUACCCUGGUAGUCCACGCCGUANACGAUGUCUACUANUCGUUGGGUCCCUUGAGGACUUAGUGACGCANCUNACGCAAUAAGUAGACCGCCUGGGGAGUACGGCCGCANGGUUANANCUCAAAUGNANUUGACNGGGGCCCGCACCAGCGGUGGAGCAUGUGGUUUNANUUNNAUGCAACNCNAAGANANCUUACCUGGUCNUGACAUAUCUAGAAUCCUGCAGA